CCAAUAGCGUAUAUUAAAGUUGCUGCAGUUAAAAAGCUCGUAGUUGAAUUUCGGGACCAUCAUAUCGGUCGUGCCUCGGUACGUACUGGUAUCGUUGGUUUCUCCCUUCUGACGAACCAUGAUGUCAUUUAUUUGGUGUCGUGGGAAAUCAGGACUGUUACUUUGAAAAAAUUAGAGUGUUUAAAGCAGGCUAACGCUUGAAUACAUUAGCAUGGAAUAAUGAAAUAGGACGUUCGAUCCUAUUUUGUUGGUUUCUAGGAUUGACGUAAUGAUUAAUAGGGAUAGUUGGGGGCAUUAGUAUUCAAUUGUCAGAGGUGAAAUUCUUGGAUUUAUUGAAGACUAACUACUGCGAAAGCAUUUGCCAAGGAUGUUUUCAUUAAUCAAGAACGAAAGUUAGGGGAUCGAAGACGAUCAGAUACCGUCGUAGUCUUAACCAUAAACUAUGCCGACUAGGGAUCGGAUGAUGUUAAUUUUUUAAUGACUCAUUCGGCGCCUUGCG
rnacentral:rRNA from 1 species